AACGCUAGCUACAGGCUUAACACAUGCAAGUCGAGGGGCAGCAUUAUCGAAGCUUGCUUUGAUAGAUGGCGACCGGCGCACGGGUGAGUAACGCGUAUCCAACCUUCCCCGUAGUCAGGAAUAGCCCGGCGAAAGUCGAAUUAAUGCCUGAUGUUUUCCACGGACGGCAUCUGAUGUGGAACAAAGAUUCAUCGCUAUGGGAUGGGGAUGCGUCUGAUUAGCUUGUUGGCGGGGUAACGGCCCACCAAGGCAACGAUCAGUAGGGGUUCUGAGAGGAAGGUCCCCCACAUUGGAACUGAGACACGGUCCAAACUCCUACGGGAGGCAGCAGUGAGGAAUAUUGGUCAAUGGGCGGAAGCCUGAACCAGCCAAGUAGCGUGAGGGAUGACUGCCCUAUGGGUUGUAAACCUCUUUUAUAAGGGAAUAAAAUACGGGACGUGUCCUGUUUUGCAUGUACCUUAUGAAUAAGGACCGGCUAAUUCCGUGCCAGCAGCCGCGGUAAUACGGAAGGUCCGGGCGUUAUCCGGAUUUAUUGGGUUUAAAGGGAGCGUAGGCCGGAGAUUAAGCGUGUUGUGAAAUGUAGACGCUCAACGUCUGCACUGCAGCGCGAACUGGUUUCCUUGAGUACGCACAAAGUGGGCGGAAUUCGUGGUGUAGCGGUGAAAUGCUUAGAUAUCACGAAGAACUCCGAUUG
rnacentral:rRNA from 1 species